CCUACGGGAGGCCGCAGUGAGGAAUAUUGGUCAAUGGGCGCUAGCCUGAACCAGCCAAGUAGCGUGAAGGAUGAAUGCCCUACGGGUUGUAAACUUCUUUUAUAUGGGAAUAAAGUGCUGUAUGUAUACUGCUUUGCAUGUACCUUAUGCAUAAGGAUCGGCUAAUUCCGUGCCAGUAGCCGCGGUAAUACGGAGGAUUCGAGCGUUAUCCGGAUUUAUUGGGGUUAAAGGGAGCGUAGGAGGGUUGUUAAGUCAGUUGUGAAAGUUUGCGGCGCAACCGUAAACUUGCAGUUGAUACUGGAAGCCUUGAGUACAGUAGAGGUAGGCGGAAUUCGUGGUGUAGCGGUGAAAUGCUUAGAUAUCACGAAGAACCCCGAUUGCGAAGGCAGCAUGCUGGACUGUAACUGACGCUGAUGCUCGAAAGUGUGGGUAUCAAACAGGAUUAGAGACCCCUGUAGUC
rnacentral:rRNA from 1 species